rfam:Brassica napus, WGS project CCCW01000000 data, contig: 690
AACCCAUGGUAAGGGCAUUCCCUUUGGUACUCCUUGUAACGCUCCCAAGCAUCAUAGAAGGGUUCGUCAGUCUUUUUCUUAAAAUUGGAGAUCUUAAGCCUCAGAGAU